AGAGUUUGAUCAUGGCUCAGGAUGAACGCUAGCGGCAGGCUUAACACAUGCAAGUCGAGGGGUAACAGGUGUAGCAAUACAUGCUGACGACCGGCGCACGGGUGAGUAUCGCGUAUGCAACCUACCUUUUACUGGAGGAUAGCCCAAGGAAACUCGGAUUAAUACUCCAUAAAUUCCUGAAUUCGCAUGUUUUCAGGAUUAAAGCUCCGGCGGUAAGAGAUGGGCAUGCGUGCCAUUAGCUAGUUGGUGAGGUAACGGCUCACCAAGGCUGCGAUGGCUAGGGGGCCUGAGAGGGUAAUCCCCCACACUGGUACUGAGACACGGACCAGACUCCUACGGGAGGCAGCAGUGAGGAAUAUUGGGCAAUGGACGAAAGUCUGACCCAGCCAUGCCGCGUGCAGGAUGAAUGCCCUAUGGGUUGUAAACUGCUUUUCUACGGGAAGAAAUGUUCCGACGUGUCGGAAUUCGACGGUACCGUAGGAAUAAGCAUCGGCUAACUCCGUGCCAGCAGCCGCGGUAAUACGGAGGAUGCAAGCGUUAUCCGGAUUUAUUGGGUUUAAAGGGUGCGUAGGCGGAAUAAUAAGUCAGUGGUGAAAUCUUGCGGCUCAACCGUAAAAUUGCCUCUGAUACUGUUAUUCUUGAGUGCAGUUGAGGUAGGCGGAAUGUGUAAUGUAGCGGUGAAAUGCAUAGAUAUUACACAGAACACCAAUUGCGAAGGCAGCUUACUAAACUGUGACUGACGCUGAGGCACGAAAGCGUGGGGAGCAAACAGGAUUAGAUACCCUAGUAGUCC
rnacentral:rRNA from 1 species